rnacentral:rRNA from 1 species
CCGACAGGUAGAGCAUACCAAGGCGAGUGGGAUAACUAUGGUUAAGGAACUCGGCAAAUUGCCUCCGUAACUUCGGGAGAAGGAGGACCCCAGUAGCGUGAUGAGACUUGCUCUCUGAGCGUGAAGGGGUGGCACAAAAUUGAGGGAAGCGACUGUUUACCAAAAACACAGCAGCGUGCUAAGCCGUAAGGCGCUGUAUACGCUGUGACUCCUGCCCGGUGCUGGAAGGUUACGGGGAUGGGUUAGUCCUUCGGGACGAAGCUCUGAACCUAAGCCCCAGUAAACGGCGGCCGUAACUAUAACGGUCCUAAGGUAGCGAAAUUCCUUGUCGGGUAAGUUCCGACCUGCACGAAUGGAGUAACGACUUCCCUACUGUCUCAACCAUAGACCCAGCGAAAUUGAAGUACGAGUAAAGAUGCUCGUUAGCUGCAGAAGGACGGAAAGACCCCGUGGACCUUUACUAUAACUUGAUGUUGUGUUUUGUCAUAUGUUGUGUAGGAUAGGUGGGAGACUUGGAAGCAUGGACGCUAGUCUGUGUGGAGUCAUCGUUGAAAUACCACCCUGCAUAUGGUGAGGCUCUAACCUAGACCCGUUAUCCGGGUUGGGGACAGCGUCAGGCGGGUAGUUUAACUGGGGCGGUUGCCUCCUAAAGAGUAACGGAGGCGCCCAAAGGUUCCCUCAGCCUGGUUGGCAAUCAGGCGUUGAGUGCAAUGGCAAAAGGGAGCUUGACUGCGAGACCUAUAAGUCGAGCAGGAGCGAAAGCUGGGCAUAGUGAUCCGGCGGUUGCGUGUGGAAGCGCCGUCGCUCAACGGAUAAAAGGUACCCCGGGGAUAACAGGCUAAUCUUGCCCAAGCGUCCAUAGCGACGGCAAGGUUUGGCACCUCGAUGUCGGCUCAUCGCAUCCUGGGGCUGAAGCAGGUCCCAAGGGUUGGGCUGUUCGCCCAUUAAAGCGGUACGCGAGCUGGGUUCAGAACGUCGUGAGACAGUUCGGUCCCUAUCCUCUGCAGCCGGAGGUGAAUUGAGGAAAGCUGUCCCUAGUACGAGAGGACCGGGACGGACGCAGCUCUCGUGUGCCAGUUGUCCUGCCAAGGGCAUGGCUGGUUAGCGACCUGCGGAAAGGAUAACCGCUGAAAGCAUCUAAGCGGGAAGCCUCUUCCAAGAUGAAUUCACCCACAGGGUUAACCUGGUAAGGCCCGUGGUAGACCACCACGUUGAUAGGCCGGAAGUGUAAGCGUGGCAACACGUUCAGCUGACCGGUACUAAUCGGCCGAGGGCUCG